CUUAUCAAGAGCGGUGGAGGGAACGGCCCGAUGAAACCCGGCAACCUGCGGCGACGCAAGGUGCCAAAUCCGGCGAAGCAAUCGAAAGAUGAGG
rnacentral:ncRNA from 1 species